rnacentral:rRNA from 1 species
GACGAACGCUGGCGGCGUGCUUAACACAUGCAAGUCGAACGCUGAAGCUCAGCUUUUGUUGGGUGGAUGAGUGGCGAACGGGUGAGUAACACGUGAGUAACCUGCCCCCUUCUUUGGGAUAACGCCCGGAAACGGGUGCUAAUACUGGAUAUUCACUGGUCUUCGCAUGGGGGUUGGUGGAAAGGGUUUUUCUGGUGGGGGAUGGGCUCGCGGCCUAUCAGCUUGUUGGUGGGGUGAUGGCCUACCAAGGCUUUGACGGGUAGCCGGCCUGAGAGGGUGACCGGUCACAUUGGGACUGAGAUACGGCCCAGACUCCUACGGGAGGCAGCAGUGGGGAAUAUUGCACAAUGGGCGCAAGCCUGUUGCAGCGACGCCGCGUGAGGGAUGGAGGCCUUCGGGUUGUGAACCUCUUUCGCUCAUGGUCAAGCCGCAACAAUGGUUGUGGUGAGGGUAGUGGGUAAAGAAGCGCCGGCUAACUACGUG